rnacentral:rRNA from 1 species
UAAGUGGGAAACGAUGUGGGAAGGCCCAGACAGCCAGGAUGUUGGCUUAGAAGCAGCCAUCAUUUAAAGAAAGCGUAAUAGCUCACUGGUCGAGUCGGCCUGCGCGGAAGAUGUAACGGGGCUAAACCAUGCACCGAAGCUGCGGCAGCGAACGUAUCACUUAAAGCGAUUCAGCGGGUUACGAUUGACGGAGCGAAGCGACGUCAAAGCGUAUACAAAGUCGAGUCGGUUUAAGGAUACGUUCGUUGGGUAGGGGAGCGUUCUGUAAGCCUGCGAAGGUGGCCUGUGAGGGUUGCUGGAGGUAUCAGAAGUGCGAAUGCUGACAUAAGUAACGAUAAAGCGGGUGAAAAGCCCGCUCGCCGGAAGACCAAGGGUUCCUGUCCAACGUUAAUCGGGGCAGGGUGAGUCGACCCCUAAGGCGAGGCCGAAAGGCGUAGUCGAUGGGAAACGGGUUAAUAUUCCCGUACUUGGUGUUACUGCGAAGGGGGGACGGAGAAGGCUAUGUUGGCCGGGCGACGGUUGUCCCGGUUUAAGCGUGUAGGUGUGUGUUCCAGGUAAAUCCGGUUCACUUUAACACUGAGGCGUGANGACGAGGCACUACGGUGCUGAAGCAACAAAUGCCCUGCUUCCAGGAAAAGCCUCUAAGCAUCAGGUAACAUCAAAUCGUACCCCAAACCGACACAGGUGGUCAGGUAGAGAAUACCAAGGCGCUUGAGAGAACUCGGGUGAAGGAACUAGGCAAAAUGGUGCCGUAACUUCGGGAGAAGGCACGCUGACACGUAGGUGAAGUGAUUUACUCAUGGAGCUGAAGUCAGUCGAAGAUACCAGCUGGCUGCAACUGUUUAUUAAAAACACAGCACUGUGCAAACACGAAAGUGGACGUAUACGGUGUGACGCCUGCCCGGUGCCGGAAGGUUAAUUGAUGGGGUCAGCGCAAGCGAAGCUCCUGAUCGAAGCCCCGGUAAACGGCGGCCGUAACUAUAACGGUCCUAAGGUAGCGAAAUUCCUUGUCGGGUAAGUUCCGACCUGCACGAAUGGCGUAAUGAUGGCCAGGCUGUCUCCACCCGAGACUCAGUGAAAUUGAACUCGCUGUGAAGAUGCAGUGUACCCGCGGCAAGACGGAAAGACCCCGUGAACCUUUACUAUAGCUUGACACUGAACAUUGAGCCUUGAUGUGUAGGAUAGGUGGGAGGCUUUGAAGUGUGGACGCCAGUCUGCAUGGAGCCGACCUUGAAAUACCACCCUUUAAUGUUUGAUGUUCUAACGUGGACCCGUNAUCCGGGUUGCGGACAGUGUCUGGUGGGUAGUUUGACUGGGGCGGUCUCCUCCUAAAGAGUAACGGAGGAGCACGAAGGUUGGCUAAUCCUGGUCGGACAUCAGGAGGUUAGUGCAAUGGCAUAAGCCAGCUUGACUGCGAGCGUGACGGCGCGAGCAGGUGCGAAAGCAGGUCAUAGUGAUCCGGUGGUUCUGAAUGGAAGGGCCAUCGCUCAACGGAUAAAAGGUACUCCGGGGAUAACAGGCUGAUACCGCCCAAGAGUUCAUAUCGACGGCGGUGUUUGGCACCUCGAUGUCGGCUCAUCACAUCCUGGGGCUGAAGUAGGUCCCAAGGGUAUGGCUGUUCGCCAUUUAAAGUGGUACGCGAGCUGGGUUUAGAACGUCGUGAGACAGUUCGGUCCCUAUCUGCCGUGGGCGCUGGAGAACUGAGGGGGGCUGCUCCUAGUACGAGAGGACCGGAGUGGACGCAUCACUGGUGUUCGGGUUGUCAUGCCAAUGGCACUGCCCGGUAGCUAAAUGCGGAAGAGAUAAGUGCUGAAAGCAUCUAAGCACGAAACUUGCCCCGAGAUGAGUUCUCCCUGAGACUUAGAGUCUCCUGAAGGAACGUUGAAGACGACGACGUUGAUAGGCCGGGUGUGUAAGCGCAGCGAUGCGUUGAGCUAACCGGUACUAAUGAACCGUGAGGCUUAACCUUACAACGCCGAAG